rnacentral:rRNA from 1 species
CUCUUUAGCUUGGCAUUUGAAUCGGCUUUGCUGUUGCGAAGUAGAGUGGCGGCUUCGGCUGCCGAGGGUCGAUCCAUUUGGGAAAUGUUGUGUACUUCGGUAUGCAUCUCAAUUGGACCUGAUAUCAGGCAAGAUUACCCGCUGAACUUAAGCAUAUUAAUAAGCGGAGGAAAAGAAACUAACAAGGAUUCCCCUAGUAACGGCGAGUGAAGCGGGAAGAGCUCAAGCUUAAAAUCUCCGUGCAAGUUUUGCGCGGCGAAUUGUAGUCUAUAGAGGCGUGAUCAGUGUGGGCGCUUGGGGCAAGUUCCUUGGAAGAGGACAGCAUGGAGGGUGAUACUCCCGUUCAUCCCUGAGUUGCUCGUGCGUACGAUCCGUUUUCUUUGAGUCGCGUUGUUUGGGAAUGCAGCGCAAAGUAGGUGGUAAAUUCCAUCUAAAGCUAAAUAUUGGUGCGAGACCGAUAGCGAACAAGUACCGUGAGGGAAAGAUGAAAAGAACUUUGAAAAGAGAGUUAAAGAGUACCUGAAACUGCUGAAAGGGAACCGAAUCGUUUCCAGUGUCUAUAAUCCGUGGUAUAUUUCAUUGGCGAGUGUGUGCGUGCGUGUGCUGUGGCAGCGGCUUUUUUGGCUGCGCUCGGCGUGUGUGCUGUGUGUGCUUGCUGGUGCCCUGUGCUGCGGUGGGACGUCAAGGUCAGUUCGUAUGCUGCGGGAAAUGGCCGCCGAGGAGGUAGGGCUUACGCUUGCGUUUGUCUGUUAUAUCUUGGUGGACGAGUAGUCGCGGUUGGGACUGAGGUGCCUACAACGUGUUUUUGAGUGGGCCUGUGUCUCUGUGUGCGCCGUGUGCGGAUAGCUUGCUAUGCGUGUGUGUUGUGUGUGGAUUGAUGUGGGUUUUAACUUGUUUGCCGUUCGGGACGUUGACGAAAUGGAGCGAUUUGACCCGUCUUGAAACACGGACCAAGGAGUCUAACAUGUGUGCAAGUGUUAGGGUGUGGAAACCCCAGCGCGAAAUGAAAGUGAAGGGCAGCGUAAGUUGUCUGAGGUAGGAAAUGCUGCGGGCUUCGGUCUGCGGUGUGGCACUAUCGACCGAUCAUGAACCUUCGUGGUGAAAGAUUUGAGUUUGAGCACAUAUGUUGGUACCCGAAAGAUGGUGAACUAUGCCUGAGUAGGGUGAAGCCAGGGGAAACUCUGGUGGAAGCUCGUAGCGAUUCUGACGUGCAAAUCGAUCGUCAAACUUGGGUAUAGGGGCGAAAGACUAAUCGAACCAUCUAGUAGCUGGUUCCCUCCGAAAUUUCCCUCAGGAUAGCAGCAACUUAUUUACGAUAGUUUUAUGAGGUAAAGCGAAUGAUUAGAGGAUUCGGGGAAGAAACUUCCUCGACCUAUUCUCAAACUUUAAAUCUGUAAGACCUGCAGGUUUCUUAAUUGAACUUGUGGAUGUGAAUAUCAAGUUGCUAGUGGGCCAUACGGGGUAAGCUCGUCUGGCGAUGCGGGAUGAACCGAACGCAAAGUUAAAGUGCCAAAAUGCUCGCUCACCUAGAUACCAUAAAAGGUGUUGGUUCAUUUAGACAGCAGGACGGUGGCCAUAGAAGUCGGAAUCCGCUAAGGAGUGUGUAACAACUCACCUGCC